AGAGCAUCCUUUAGAAUGCACUGUGUGAGGAGUUGGCAAACUCUUCUCAAAGGGACCAGAGACCUAACUCAGUAUGAACAGUUGAAAGCCCAUCAGGGAACUGGAGCAGGAAUUUCCCCAAUGAUCCUCAAUUCAGGAGAGGGCAAAGAAGUAGACAUUUUACGAAUGCUCAUCAAGGCCAAAGACGAAUACACAAAGUGUAAAACCUGUUCUGAGCCAAAAAAGAUAACCAGUUCCUCUGCCAUCUAUGACAAUCCAAAUCUCAUCAAACCAAUUCCAGUGAAACCCAGUGAAAACCAGCAACAGCAUAUACCUCAGCCCAACCAGACCUUAGACCCUGAACCCCAACACUUAUCUUUGACAGCUCUGUUUGGGAAGCAGGACAAAGCUACAUGUCAGGAAACUGUGGAGCCUCCGCAGACUCUCCACCAGCAGCAGCAGCAGCAGCAGCAGCAGCAGCAGCAGCAAGAGAAGCUUCCAAUUAGGCAGGGGGUUGUACGCUCCCUGUCCUAUGAGGAACCCAGAAGACACUCACCCCCCAUUGAGAAGCAGCUCUGUCCAGCCAUUCAGAAACUCAUGGUCAGGAGCGGAGACCUCCACCCAUUGUCAGAGCUGCCUGAAAACCGGCCUUGUGAAAAUGGCAGCACCCAUUCUGCGGGAGAAUUUUUUACAGGACCUGUCCAGCCAGGGUCUCCUCACAACAUUGGAACUUCUCAUGGUGUACAAAAUGCUUCCAGAACUCAGAACCUGUUCGAGAAACUUCAGAGUACCCCAGGGGCAGCAAACAAGUGUGACCCUAGUACACCAGCACCUGCCAGCUCAGCUGCCCUGAACCGCAGCAGAGCUCC
rnacentral:sRNA from 1 species